GGAACUUGGAGGAGCCGUUAGCGACAGAGGGGAUCAGGGAGGCCGAGUACGCCAUGCGGCCUGCCUGGGGCCCGAGGAGGCCGGAGGGGGGCACGGAGGGCUUGGCAGGUGGGGUAAGGGGGUUAGGGCCGUCACCGCUGGGAGCGGGGGCAGAGCUGCUUUUCCCAGAAGUGGGAGAAAAGGCAGGGAUCUUAGAAGCAGGGAGGGUGGGGGAAGUAGCCUUAUAGUCCCCACCAGCUUUCUUAGCACUUCCAUUAGCCUGUCUGUACUGACGCGGGUCCUGCAGCUUGUGCUGUUUGCCUGCUUUCUCCGUGCCUCCUUGUCUACUUUUCGCAGCCAUGGGCACCGG
rnacentral:lncRNA from 1 species